GAGGGUACAGCUCAAGUGGUAGAGCGAAUACUUAGCAUGCAUGAGGUCGUGGGUUCAAUCCCCAGUACCUCCA
rnacentral:tRNA from 1 species